rnacentral:snRNA from 1 species
AGAUGGGAGGGGGAUGAUGCUGGAACAUCUGUCACCACUUUGCUCACUGGGGUUGAUGCUGCUCCUUGGGGUGGCCAGGUGGCUGCACUCGCCCUUGUCACCAAGCCAGGUGCACCCUCCUCACAGUUGUGCACUUGAUUAAAGAGGACCACCUUCCCUGGACAGAGGAGGACCAGCUUUUGGUCAAGGAUGGACAAGUAGCUCUGUUCCUCUGCUAGAACCUGCAAACUUGCUCUCAAAUCCAACCAACAAAAUGGCCAGAGAUGCAGCUCCACGGCGGAGCACUUGCCUAGCAUGUGCAGUCUCAAGUACUAC